CGGCGAGUGAACAGGGAUAAGCCCAGCGCAGAAUCCACAAUCGGAAGGUUGUUGGAAAUGUUGCGUUAAGGCUGGCACACAGCUGCAUUGAGUCUGCUGGAAGUUCCCUUGACUGGGGCUACCAUAGAGGGUGAAAGUCCUUUACCGGCGGACAAUGUGUGGCCGGUGCCAGCUUUCGAGUCGGGUUGUUUGAGAUUGCAGCCCAAAGUGGGUCGUAGACUCGAUCUAAGGCUAAAUAUGUGGUCAAUUCCGAUAGCGAACAAGUACAGUGAUGGAAAGAUGAAAAGAACUUUGGAGAGAGGGUUAAAAAGUGCGUGAAACCGCUUGAAGGAAAACGGUCACAGGCGUCAUAUGCUUGUCGGGGAAUCAGCUGGAAAGAAGGUCCUGUCAUAGCCGGUGUGACGUAUGAGCUCGUCGGAGUUUGGCAGGCGACAUUUCCCUCGCAAUUCUCUGCGGCGGCCAGUUGGAGACUGGGCUGGUCUGUGCUGCUGUUGUGUACUGCAACCGUUCGGCUGUGGAACGACAGUGGUGGCGCGGACCUGGCUUGGUCAGGUGCCUGCUGUGUUGGCAGCAGUGCGGAGGGCAAGGGCUCGGAUGCUGAUGCUGGGAUGCUAACUUGGUUUCAAGGUGGUGAUCUGGCGUUGGUGUCUGGCCUGGACGUCUCUACAUCGCACUAUGACUGGUUCGACGUCCUGUGUCCGACCCGUCUUGAAACACGGACCACGGAGUCUAACGCUCAAGCGAGUUAUCUGGCUGAAAGCCUGGAAAGCUGAAUGAAAGUGAAUGUAGGGGAGAUCCGGCCGCAAGGUUGGCGCAUCCCCGGCGCGUCUCAACUUCGCUUCGGUGAAGGAGGCGUAGCAAGAGCUUGAUCGUUGGGACCCGAAAGAUGGUGAACUAUGCCUGAGUAGGCUGAAGUCAGGGGAAACUCUGAUGGAAGGCCGUCGCGAUUC
rnacentral:rRNA from 1 species